GGCAUUUGAUACAACUAGACAUAACGAAGAAAAAGUACAUACAUUGUUGUCCGUACGAGGACAACGAGGAAAUGAUGAAGCAGAACAAGAAUAUAUAAAUGGUAGUUUAUGUUGUUACAUUAUUUGAAUAUAACUGUGUAUGAAUGAAACAAUACUUAUUAUAUUUUUUUGCAGACUCUUUGGUUGGAUCAUUACAUCUGUGGGAUUUAUUGUGACCACAACCUGUCUACUUGGGUUUGUGAAUCAUCUCCUCAUUUUCCCCAGGCAUUCCUUAAAAAUCCUGAGGAUACAGGGAUAUACGUAAUGGCAGCCAUGGAAUGCAUAUGUCUGGGUGAGCAGGUACUAUGGAGCAAGAAAGACGUCGAUAACAUUAGGGAGAAAAUUGUCC
rnacentral:lncRNA from 1 species